CUCACGGUGCAUGCACAUCACCACAGCCCCUCGGCUGGUGAUACGAGAGUGCACGACAGUUGUGCCUUGAUGACGUAUGAGGGGAUACGUCAGAGUGGAGUAGCGCGAGAGGUUUGUUUACUUCGCUAAGGAUUGAAAUGUUGAGUCGGGAAAGCUGGAUUUGGAAACUGAAUUCUUUUAGCAUUUGUUAACCUAGAAACUGAGGUGCAAUGCUCAAUCGACAGCUAUCCGAUCCGUCCCAACAUAAAUGUGAAAUGUGACAAUUACAUUGGAUUUAAUUUGUGCAUCUGAAUAUUAGUCGAUUUUAAUUUCA